UACGGAGGAUCCAAGCGUUAUCCGGAUUCAUUGGGCUUAAAGGGUGCGUAGGCGGAAUGAUAAGUCAGUGGUGAAAGCCUGCAGCUUAACUGCAGAACUGCCAUUGAUACUGUCAAUCUUGAGUACAUUUGAUGAGGGCGGAAUGUGUCAUGUAGCGGUGAAAUGCUUAGAUAUGACACAGAACACCGAUUGCGAAGGCAGCUCUCAAAACUGUAACUGACGCUGAGGCACGAAAGCGUGGGUAUCAAACAGG
rnacentral:rRNA from 1 species